CCUACGGGGGGCAGCAGUAAGGAAUAUUGGUCAAUGGACGCAAGUCUGAACCAGCCAUGCCGCGUGAAGGAUGAAGGUCCUCUGGAUUGUAAACUUCUUUUGAAUGGGACGAAACCUCUUUUUCUUGAGAGACUGACGGUACCAUUAGAAUAAGCACCGGCUAACUCCGUGCCAGCAGCCGCGGUAAUACGGAGGGUGCAAGCGUUAUCCGGAUUCACUGGGUUUAAAGGGAGCGUAGGAGGGCAGGUAAGUCAGUGGUGAAAUCUUCGAGCUUA
rnacentral:rRNA from 1 species